UGCGUAGGUGGUUAGGUAAGACCUGUGGGAAAGACCUGGGCUUAACCCAGGAAGGUCGCAGGUGGCUGCCUGGCUAGAGGGCGGGAGAGGAGCGCGGAAUUCCCGGUGUAGCGGUGAAAUGCGUAGAGAUCGGGAGGAAGGCCGGUGGCGAAGGCGGCGCUCUGGAACGUUCCUGACACUGAGGCACGAAAGCGUGGGGAGCAAACAGGAUUAGAUACCCUGGUAGUCCACGCCCUAAACGAUGGGUACUAAGUGUCGGCGGGUUACCGCCGGUGCCGCACCUAACGGAGUAAGUACCCCGCCUGGGGAGUACGGCCGCAAGGUUGAA
rnacentral:rRNA from 1 species